rnacentral:rRNA from 1 species
AAGUCGAACGAUUAAGCUCCUUCGGGAGUGUAUAAAGUGGCGAAAGUGGCGAGGAAUACGUUCCUACGUACCCCGAGGUCGAGGAUAGCCCAGGGAAACUUGGAGUAAUACUCGAUGUGGUCUUCGGAUCAAAGAUUUAUCGCCUUGGGAGCGGGGAACGCCCUAUCAGCUUGUUGGUGAGGUAACGGCUCACCAAGGCUUAGACGGGUAGCGGGUGUGAGAGCAUGACCCGCCGCAUCGGGACUGAGACACUGCCCGGACUCCUACGGGAGGCUGCAGUAACGAAUAUUCCGCAAUGCGCGAAAGCGUGACGGAGCAAUGCCGCGUGCAGGAUGAAGCCCCUCGGGGUGUAAAC